UACGUAGGGGGCAAGCGUUGUCCGGAAUCAUUGGGCGUAAAGCGCGUGUAGGCGGUCCGGUAAGUCCGCUGUGAAAGUCGGGGGCUUAACCCUCGGAUGCCGGUGGAUACUGUCGGGCUUGAGUACGGAAGAGGCGAGUGGAAUUCCUGGUGUAGCGGUGAAAUGCGCAGAUAUCAGGAGGAACACCAAUUGCGAAGGCAGCUCGCUGGGACGUUACUGACGCUGAGGAGCGAAAGCGUGGGGAGCGAACAGG
rnacentral:rRNA from 1 species